rnacentral:rRNA from 1 species
UACGUAGGGUGCAAGCGGUGUCCGGAUUUAUUGGGCGGAAAGAGCUCGUAGGCGGUUUGGUAAGUCAGGUGUGAAAUCUCCACGCUCAACGUGGAGGGGCCACCUGAUACUGCCAUGACUGGAGUCCGGUAGAGGAGUGUGGAAUUCCCGGUGUAGCGGUGAAAUGCGCAGAUAUCGGGAGGAACACCCGUAGCGAAGGCGGCACUCUGGGCCGGUACUGACGCUGAGAAGCGAAAGCAUGGGGAGCGAACAGG